rnacentral:rRNA from 1 species
UACGGAGGGGGCUAGCGUUGUUCGGAAUUACUGGGCGUAAAGCGCACGUAGGCGGCUAUUCAAGUCAGGGGUGAAAGCCCGGGGCUCAACCCCGGAAUUGCCCUUGAAACUAGAUAGCUAGAAUCAUGGAGAGGUGAGUGGAAUUCCGAGUGUAGAGGUGAAAUUCGUAGAUAUUCGGAAGAACACCAGUGGCGAAGGCGGCUCACUGGACAUGUAUUGACGCUGAGGUGCGAAAGCGUGGGGAGCAAACAGG